rnacentral:rRNA from 1 species
AACGAACGCUGGCGGCGUGCCUAACACAUGCAAGUCGAACGAGAAAGGGGCUUCGGCUCCGAGUAAAGUGGCGCACGGGUGAGUAACACGUAGGUAACCUGCCUCUAAGAUUGGGAUAACCUGUCGAAAGACGAGCUAAUACCGAAUAAGACCACGGCUUCCUCGGAAGCAGGGGUCAAAGGUAGCCUCUACUUGUAAGCUAUCACUUAGAGAUGGGCCUGCGUACCAUUAGCUAGNGGUGGGUAACGGCCUACCAAGGCAAAGAUGGUUAGCUGGUCUGAGAGGAUGAUCAGCCACACUGGAACUGAGACACGGUCCAGACUCCUACGGGAGCAGCAGUGGGAAUAUUGCGCAAAUGGGCGAAAGCCUGACGCAGCAACGCCGCGUGAGUGAUG